GGAUGGGUGCCUGAGCGGUUGAAAGGACUGGUCUUGAAAACCAGCAAGGGUUUUGCCCUUCGUGGGUUCGAAUCCCACCCCAUCCGCCA
rnacentral:tRNA from 3 species